AAGCUUAUAUGUCAGAUAAAUAUGGGAGAGCAGGACAAAACAUUUUUUUUUGUCUCCGCUUGCGUAUCGGAUUUUUAUGUUUGCCACCAUUUGCUUUGGUGGCAGACAAUUGCGUGGUGUUUUGAUGUUUUUCAUCAAUUUAUAGUGAUUUCAUGUCAAAUAAAACAAUCAGAACAUUGUUCUACACAGUAUUUUGUGUGAUUUCGUUUGCAGUAAUGGUGAAUUGUUGUAUAAUUGGUUGUAAAAGCCGUAGUGAACGAAAAGAACCAAACAUAACCUUUCAUCGAUUCCCGAAUGAACCAAGUUUAAGAAAUAAAUGGACGGAGUGUACGGGCCGAGUACAUUGGCAUCCAAGUCAACAUUCUCGAAUAUGUUCCAGACAUUUUGAAUCCAGAUGCUUUCAGGCUAAGAAAAAAAGGCAUAUUUUUAAGGCAGUCUGCAAAACCUACACUUUUCAUUCAUGAUACUGUACCUCAACAUGAUCAACCAGGUUCAUCCAAAAAACCUUUGGAAAUAGAGAUACAAGCAUUUGAGUCUUUGACUCCAAAGAUAACUCCUCGUAAGAAAAAAUUAAUUAAGAAAUUGGAAAAAACAACAGCUGUUGGAGAAAAAAGAAAGAAGAAAUUAGCAGCUUUGCGAUCCAAAACCUGGCGUUUGCAGAAGAAAACGGCUGAAAUGUGUACAGUCAUACAGGAAUUAAAAACGCGUUCAUUGAUUAAUCAAGAGAGUGCAGAUUUAUUGUCUUCAAUAGAUGUUGUAAAUAGAGAUUUCUUGAAAAAGUUCUUAUGUAAAGAUAGUACUGCCAGAAAGUAUACUCCAGAGCUGCGGAAAUUCGCUUUAACUCUCCAUUAUAUAAGUCCAAAAGCUUACAAUUUUGUUCGGAAACAGUUCAACACCUGUUUGCCCCAUACGCGUACAUUGUCGCGAUGGUACCAGUGCGUUGAUGGGGAUCCUGGUUUUUCAUCUGAGUCUAUUAAAGCGGUAAAAAUAUUACAUGAAAUAAAUAAAAAUAAAAACCCAUUACAUAAAACUUUGUGCCUUAAGCUUUGAUGAGAUGGCAAUUAGGAAAGGGGUUAAUUUUGAUGGAAAUAACUGCAUAGGUUUUGUAAAUUUCGGGAAUGGAGUUGUAAGCGAUAAUGACCAGCUAGCCAAAGAUGCACUAGUUUUCAUGCUUACAUGCAUGAACGGAUCAUGGAAGAUACCAUUAGGAUAUUUUUUGAUAAACGGUAUAAGUGCUGAACAGAAAGCAGGUUUAAUAAAAGUUUGCAUUGAGACAUUAAGUCAAGACUGUGGGGUUGAUAUACUCUCAGUAACUUUUGAUGGUUGCGCCGCAAAUUUGUCGAUGGCAAAAAUUUUAGGGUGCAAAUUAGACAGCACCGACUUAAUUGACCCUACUUUUACUGUGGGCAACCAUAAAAUCGUAAUAUUCCCAGAUCCCUCGCACAUGCUCAAGUUAGUGAGAAAUACGCUAGGUGAAAAGGGGCCAAUCAUUGAUCCGCACGGCCGUGUUAUAUCCUGGGAGUAUGUAAGAUCACUUGUAGAACUUCAGGACAACGAAGGAUUACACUUGGGUAACAAAUUAAAUAAAUCUCAUAUCAAUUUCGUUAAACAAGUAAUGAAGGUGAAGCUGGCAGCUCAAGUCAUGAGUGAAUCCGUCGCAAAUGCGAUUGAGUUUUGCGAUACAGAGUUGAAUAUCACCACUUUUAAGAAUUCUGCAGGGACUGUUGAGUUUAUUCGAAAAAUGAAUAAUUUAUUUGAUGUGUUGAAUUCUAGAAAUCUUAAAGCAUAUACUUACAAAAAACCAUUAUCUCAGAAAAAUUUUCCCGAAAUCAAACAAUUUUUAGACGAGAUGGUUGUAUAUUUGACGAACUUAAAAUUAGGGGGUAUAAAUAUUAUGCAAUCCCAAAGAAAAACUGGAUUUAUGGGAUUUGUUAUUUGUAUUAAAAGCGUUGUUAAACUUUACGAAACUCAGGUGGUAAAUAAUAACCUCCAAUUUCUGAGCACAUACAAAAUGAGUCAGGACCAUCUAGAGUAUUUUUUUAGUGCCAUCAGGGCUAAAGGAGGAUUUAACAACAAUCCAUCUGCACAACAGUUUAAAUCUGCCUUUAAGAGGAUGUUAGUACAUGGAGAAAUUAAACAUAUAACGUCAGGAAACUGUAUUCCUCUCGAACAUAUAAACAUUUUAACGCUAACGAAACCUGAAUUAGCAAUAAAUAAAACAUCUGAGAAAAAUAGAUUAAUUGAUAAUGAACCUGUAAAUACAGAAAUGGUUGAAAAUAUAUUAAUGAAAGAUCACGACUAUUUAACAGACCCAAGUAUUUUGACUGAAUUUUCUAAACAUAUAAUUAUAUACAUAGCUGGUUUUGUUGUAAGCAAACUGAAAAAAGAACUUAACUGUGAGGAAUGUGUGUCAGCUAUAGUAUGUAAUACUAAAUAUGUUAGCCUACAAUUGAAAAAAGACAAAGGCGGACUGUGUUAUCCUACAGUAGAUGUCAUAAAAAUAUGCGAAAUUUGUGAAAUUAUAUUUCGUAGGAAUAAAGGAUUUUAUAAAAAAAAUCAUUUAAUAGAGCUAAUGCAAGAAAGUCUUAAAUACUGUUUAGGAUAUCCUUUUUUCUCCAAGACUUCACAUUUUAAACAACAAACAUUUCUUGACUGUCACUAUUCGCUCUUAGUUAAAGCCAUAAGUUUAAAGUAUCUGAAAGUUCGAAUACAUUAUGCAGCUAAAAAGCUUUCAGAAAAGUCUGACAUCGUCAGGAAUUUUUAUAACAAAUUAAUUUUGUUUAAGGGUCAGUGAUACUGAUUAAAGUAUUAUAUUAAA